rnacentral:rRNA from 1 species
CCUACGGGCGGCAGCAGUGAGGAAUAUUGGUCAAUGGGCGAGAGCCUGAACCAGCCAAGUCGCGUGAGGGAUGAAUGUCCUCUGGGUCGUAAACUUCUUUUAUAAAGGAAUAAAAUCAGGCACGUGUGCUUUUUUGCAUGUACUUUAUGAAUAAGGAUCGGCUAACUCCGUGCCAGCAGCCGCGGUAAUACGGAGGAUCCGAGCGUUAUCCGGAUUUAUUGGGUUUAAAGGCAGCGUAGAUGGGUUGUUAAGUCAGUGGUGAAAGUCUGCGGCUCAACCAUAGAAUUGCCGUUGAUACUGGCAGUCUGGAGUGCGGUUGAGGUAGGCGGAAUUCGUGGUGUAGCGGUGAAAUGCUUAGAUAUCACGAAGAACCCCGAUUGCGAAGGCAGCUUACUA